CACUGGCAGCUCAAGUGGUGGCCGUUUUUAUUGGGCCUAAAGCGUUCGUAGCCGGUUUGAUAAGUCUCUGGUGAAAUCCUGUAGCUUAACUGUGGGAAUUGCUGGAGAUACUAUUAGACUUGAGACCGGGAGAGGUUAGAGGUACUCCCAGGGUAGAGGUGAAAUUCUGUAAUCCUGGGAGGACCGCCUGUUGCGAAGGCGUCUAACUGGAACGGUUCUGACGGUGAGGGACGAAAGUUAGGGGCGCGAACCGGAUUAGAUACCCCCGUAGUCCCUGAGCGGGCUGG
rnacentral:rRNA from 1 species